rnacentral:rRNA from 1 species
GAGGACCAUCUCCCAAGGCUAAAUACUCCCUAGUGACCGAUAGUGAACCAGUACCGUGAGGGAAAGGUGAAAAGCACCCCGGAAGGGGAGUGAAACAGUUCCUGAAACCGUGUGCCUACAAGUAGUUAGAGCCCGUUAAUGGGUGAUAGCGUGCCUUUUGUAGAAUGAACCGGCGAGUUACGAUUUGUUGCAAGGUUAAGCGGAAAAAGCGGAGCCGUAGCGAAAGCGAGUCUGAAUAGGGCGCAUAAGUAACAGGUCGUAGACCCGAAACCAGGUGAUCUACCCAUGUCCAGGAUGAAGGUAAGGUAAUACUUACUGGAGGUCCGAACCCACGCACGUUGAAAAGUGCGGGGAUGAGGUGUGGGUAGCGGAGAAAUUCCAAUCGAACUUGGAGAUAGCUGGUUCUCUCCGAAAUAGCUUUAGGGCUAGCCUCGAGGUAAAGAGUCAUGGAGGUAGAGCACUGUUUGGACUAGGGGCCCUUCUCGGGUUACCGAAUUCAGAUAAACUCCGAAUGCCAUGUACUUAUACUCGGGAGUCAGACUGCGAGUGAUAAGAUCCGUAGUCGAAAGGGAAACAGCCCAGACCACCAGUUAAGGUCCCCAAAUAUAUGUUAAGUGGAAAAGGAUGUGGGGUUGCUUAGACAACCAGGAUGUUGGCUUAGAAGCAGCCACCAUUGAAAGAGUGCGUAAUAGCUCACUGGUCGAGUGACCCCGCGCCGAAAAUGUACCGGGGCUAAACAUAUUACCGAAACUGUGGAUGAACCUCUUUAGAGGUUCGUGGUAGGAGAGCGUUCUAAGGGCGGUGAAGUCAGACCGGAAGGACUGGUGGAGCGCUUAGAAGUGAGAAUGCCGGUAUGAGUAGCGAAAGAAGGGUGAGAAUCCCUUCCACCGAAUAUCUAAGGUUUCCUGAGGAAGGCUCGUCCGCUC